rnacentral:pre_miRNA from 1 species
AACUAUCGGAUGAGUGAUGAUAGUCUGCGAUAUUCUUCAUUUUAUAAUUUAACAAAUGAAGAGUCUCAGACUUGGUCUUACGCUCGAUUGCUCGACACAA